rnacentral:rRNA from 1 species
CCCCUUUUACUUCUCUCCCAACCCCUGUGACAUACCUUAAUGUUGCCUCGGCGGAUCAGCCCGCGCCCCGUAAAACGGGACGGCCCGCCAGAGGACCCAAACUCUAAUGUUUCUUAUUGUAACUUCUGAGUAAAACAAACAAAUAAAUCAAAACUUUCAACAACGGAUCUCUUGGUUCUGGCAUCGAUGAAGAACGCAGCAAAAUGCGAUAAGUAAUGUGAAUUGCAGAAUUCAGUGAAUCAUCGAAUCUUUGAACGCACAUUGCGCCCGCUGGUAUUCCGGCGGGCAUGCCUGUUCGAGCGUCAUUUCAACCCUCAAGCCCUCGGGUUUGGUGUUGGGGAUCGGCUCUGCCUUCUGGCGGUGCCGCCCCCGAAAUACAUUGGCGGUCUCGCUGCAGCCUCCAUUGCGUAGUAGCUAACACCUCGCAACUGGAACGCGGCGCGGCCAUGCCGUAAAACCCCAACUUCUGAAUGUUGACCUCGGAUCAGGUAGGAAUACCCGCUGAACUUAAGCAUAUCAAUAAGGCGGAGGAA